UUUGAUCCUGGCUCAGGAUGAACGCUAGCGGCAGGCCUAAUACAUGCAAGUCGAACGGUAAAUGUCCCUUCGGGGGACAUGAGAGUGGCGCACGGGUGCGUAACGCGUAUGCAACCCACCCGCUGUCGGGGGAUAGCCCGGAGAAAUUCGAAUUAAUACCCCAUGAGGAGCAGAUGUGGCAUCACAAUUGUUUCAAAACUACGGUGACGGCGGACGGGCAUGCGUGCCAUUAGAUAGUUGGCGGGUAACGGCCCACCAAGUCGACGAUGGCUAGGGGAUCUGAGAGGACGGUCCCCCACACUGGUACUGAGACACGGACCAGACUCCUACGGGAGGCAGCAGUGAGGAAUAUUGGUCAAUGGGCGAGAGCCUGAACCAGCCAAGUAGCGUGCAGGAUGACGGCCCUACGGGUUGUAAACUGCUUUUUCCGGGGAAUAACCGGCGGCACGUGUGCCGCCCUGCAUGUACCCGGUGAAUAAGGACCGGCUAAUUCCGUGCC
rnacentral:rRNA from 1 species